GAUGAACGCUGGCGGCGUGCUUAACACAUGCAAGUCGAACGAAGCACUUUGGACAGAUUCUUCGGAUGAAGUCCUUAGUGACUGAGUGGCGGACGGGUGAGUAACGCGUGGGUAACCUGCCUCAUACAGGGGGAUAACAGUUAGAAAUGGCUGCUAAUACCGCAUAAGCGCACGGUACUGCAUGGUACAGUGUGAAAAACUCCGGUGGUAUGAGAUGGACCCGCGUUGGAUUAGCUAGUUGGCAGGGUAACGGCCUACCAAGGCGACGAUCCAUAGCCGGCCUGAGAGGGUGGACGGCCACAUUGGGACUGAGACACGGCCCAGACUCCUACGGGAGGCAGCAGUGGGGAAUAUUGCACAAUGGGGGAAACCCUGAUGCAGCGACGCCGCGUGAGCGAAGAAGUAUUUCGGUAUGUAAAGCUCUAUCAGCAGGGAAGAAAAUGACGGUACCUGACUAAGAAGCCC
rnacentral:rRNA from 1 species